AGGUGGGGAAAUGGUGUGAGCGAAGGCGUGGAGGUGAGGAGCCCAAGUGGGGCUUUAUCCUAAAGGUGCUGGAGCUGCCGCGCCUGCCCGGACUACAACAGCGCCUGCCCCGCGUCGCACCAGGGCCUACUGGCCACUCCGUGGUGCCUGUCCACAGCCUGUGUUGACUGACAAUCGCUGGGCCGGAUCUGGGGGCGGGAGCACUGAGGGAAUCCGAUGUACCCCCAAGGGAGUGUGCCAGGUGGUGGACACUAUGAGUACGCCAGGGAAGUACCUGCAUGGAGAAGAACUCCACGGUUCCCCUGGUGGACAAAGCCAGAGAAGUCGCAGAGCUACUUCCUGCGAGAGUUUGUGAUGCUGCAGGAGCCAUCUUGUGACCAAGAAGAGACUGCCUGGAGCACAGCAGAGGCGAUUCCAGGUCCGGUGCACCUGAGCUGGGCCCAGCUGCAGAAACUCUUUCUUCUCAUUAAAUGAAAGAAGCACAAACCCCCUGUUGUUGAAACAAUUGUCUUUGGAGUUUUUUCUUUUAAUUGCAAAUGAAACAUGCAUUUAGCGUAGUGUGGUUAGCUUAGCUCCUUCCAAACUCUCUUCCUUGAAUACUGGU
rnacentral:lncRNA from 1 species